rnacentral:rRNA from 6 species
UCCCUCAGUAGCUGCGAGCGAACAGGGAAGAGCCCAGCGCCGAAUUCCGCGUCCGAAAGGGCGUCUGGAACAUGUGGCGUUUAGGAGGAAUCUCUCCGAGGGCAGACGGUGUCGCAAGUCCCCCUGAACGGGGCUGUGAUCCAGAGCGGGUGCGAGGCCCAUAGCUGGUACCGUCUCCUUCGGGUGUCGCCUCCUUGGAGUCGGGUUGCUUGGGAGUGCAGCCCUAAUUGGGUGGUAAACUCCACCUAAGGCUAAAUACGUCCGUGAGACCGAUAGCAAACAAGUACCGUGAGGGAAAGUUGCAAAGAACUUUGAAGAGAGAGUUCAAGAGUACGUGAAACCGCUCAGAGGCAAACGGGUGGGCCCACGAAAGCCGAAGGCGGGGGGAUUCAGUCGAGAGGACGGCGGGGCAAGACUGGCUGGUCGGACGGACCGUGCCAGGCCGGGUCAGUUCCCGAGAUCCGUCGCCUUUCGACGCACUUCCCUCUGCUUAGUAGGACGCCGCAACCGGUCGGUGCUGCAGCCAUAAGGGAGAGUAUUCGGAAGGUAGCCAGCGAGUUCUUCUUCGGAGGCGCAAGCUGGUCCUAAGCCCGCUCCCCUGGUGCUUGUGGUCCGACCGUGGUCAGAGUCCCUGAACGGGAUGUUGCCGAGCCCUCCGUAUGGAGUGGGAGAGACUGCAGGCCACCUUCUGUGACGUUGCUUCACGCAUGCAGUGUGCAAGCGUUCGGAGGUGACUGCUGGCCUGUCUUUUCCCGCGCCGGGCACAGGCAGUUGGCGGCGAGUAGGUCGGUCACCCACCCGACCCGUCUUGAAACACGGACCAAGGAGUCUAACAUGUGCGCGAGUCAUUGGGUCUCGAAGAAGCCCAAAGGCGCAAUGAAAGUGAACACCAGCACUGAAGCUGGUGGAGUUGGGAAACUGCGUCGACGACGGCGCGGUUGCACCAACGGCCCGUCCCGUCCGCAUCGUCGGUGGGGCGGAGCGAGAGCGUACACGUUGGGACCCGAAAGAUGGUGAACUAUGCCUGGGCAGGACGAAGCCAGAGGAAACUCUGGUGGAGGUCCG